rnacentral:rRNA from 1 species
AGUGAACGCUGGCGGCAGGCCUAACACAUGCAAGUCGAACGAGUGGCGGACGGGUGAGUAAUACAUCGGAAACUACCCUGUCGGGGGGGAUAACGUAUGGAAACUUACGCUAAUACCGCAUACGAUCGGAUGAGCCUAGGUCGGAUUAGCUAGUUGGGGGGGUAAAGGCUUACCAAGGCGACGAUCCCUAGCUGGUCGGAGAGGAUGACCAGCCACACUGGAACUGUGACACGGUCCAGACUCCUACGGGAGGCAGCAGUGGGGAAUAUUGCACAAUGGGGGCAAGCCUGAUGCAGCCAUGCCGCGUGUAUGAAGAAGGCCUUCGGGUUGUAAAGUACUUUCAGCGGGGAGGCGUUACCCGCAGAAGAAGCACCGGCUAACUCCGUGCCAGCAGCCGCGGUAAUAC